rnacentral:rRNA from 1 species
GGGUGACGAGUGGCGGACGGGUGAGUAAUGUCUGGGAAACUGCCUGAUGGAGGGGGAUAACUACUGGAAACGGUAGCUAAUACCGCAUAACGUCGCAAGACCAAAGAGGGGGACCUUCGGGCCUCUUGCCAUCAGAUGUGCCCAGAUGGGAUUAGCUAGUAGGUGGGGUAACGGCUCACCUAGGCGACGAUCCCUAGCUGGUCUGAGAGGAUGACCAGCCACACUGGAACUGAGACACGGUCCAGACUCCUACGGGAGGCAGCAGUGGGGAAUAUUGCACAAUGGGCGCAAGCCUGAUGCAGCCAUGCCGCGUGUGUGAAGAAGGCCUUCGGGUUGUAAAGCACUUUCAGCGGGGAGGAAGGGAGUAAGGUUAAUAACCUUGCUCAUUGACGUUACCCGCAGAAGAAGCACCGGCUAACUCCGUGCCAGCAGCCGCGGUAAUAC